rnacentral:rRNA from 1 species
AGUUGGUGGAGUGAUUUGUCUGGUUAAUUCCGAUAACGAACGAGACCUUAACCUGCUAAAUAGUGAUAGGAAACUCGUUUUCUAGUUUGCUUCUUAGAGGGACUUUGUAUUUCUAAUACAAGGAAGUUUGAGGCAAUAACAGGU